UGAGUGUGAAAGAAUUUUGAUCCCAAUUGUCAGCUCCGGACAUUGGCAUAUGGUAGAGUUAGUGAGGGAGGAGAAAAAAUUCUAUCACUACUCCUCAAUCAAGUCUUCCCUUUAUACCGCCGAUGCUGCGAAAUUUAAAAAUAAGUUUAUGAGUUUCAUAGAGAGUAAUUGGACGUUGGGGAAAUUAGAGCACCAUGAACUUGUGUCAGUUGCCGCUCCUCAACAAGGACCAACCUUAGAUUGUGGGAUCUUUGUGAUUGAAUUCAUUAAUAGCAUUGUCGAAAAGCGAUCGAUAACAAUCUCACAAGGAGAGUGUGCAAAAUACAGAGCAAAGUUUUGUGCAGCUCUCUUGUAUGCACGCAAUUCACCAUAUUUCUGACGAUUGUAAUUCACAAGGGUGGGUGUGAUUC